ensembl:snRNA U6 U6 spliceosomal RNA
GUGCUUACUGUAGCAACACAUAUACUAAAAUUGGAACGAUACGGAGAUUAGCAUUGUCCCUGGUCAAGGAUGACACACAAAUUCAUAGAGCAUUAUAUAUAUAU